rnacentral:miRNA from 1 species
UGCGUGUGUGUGUGUGUGUGUGUGUGUGUGUGUGUACUCACCACAAUCCCAAACUGCUCAGGCUCAGACAAACUCGC